rnacentral:rRNA from 1 species
GACGAACGCUGGCGGCGUGCUUAACACAUGCAAGUCGAACGGAAAGGCCCUGCUUGCAGGGUACUCGAGUGGCGAACGGGUGAGUAACACGUGGGUGAUCUGCCCUGCACUUCGGGAUAAGCCUGGGAAACUGGGUCUAAUACCGGAUAGGAGCCAUUUUUAGUGUGAUGGUUGGAAAGUUUUUUCGGUGUAGGAUGAGCUCGCGGCCUAUCAGCUUGUUGGUGGGGUAAUGGCCUACCAAGGCGGCGACGGGUAGCCGGCCUGAGAGGGUGGACGGCCACAUUGGGACUGAGAUACGGCCCAGACUCCUACGGGAGGCAGCAGUGGGGAAUAUUGCACAAUGGGCGCAUGCCUGAUGCAGCGACGCCGCGUGGGGGAUGACGGCCUUCGGGUUGUAAACUCCUUUCGCUAGGGACGAAGCUUUUUGUGACGGUACCUAGAUAAGAAGCACCGGCUAACUACGUG